GGUCCUGGCUACCAAGGCUCCCCCUGGCUGCUGGAGGAGAACAAGCUGGGGGGUAAAGGGGGUCCCCAGGAGACACAGCAGGAGGUGCUACCAAGACAGUACAGACAAGAAGAGACGCCCACAGAGCUGGAACUGCCCACUCUCUGGAUAAUCAGAAGGUAGCCAGCCAGUUCAAAAGGCCAAGAUUCUGAGCAUGGGGUGCAAUUUGUAUGGGUCACACCCAGGAGCAGCCUACAUUACUAAUGCUAUGCUUCCAUCCUUGGCACCUCCAACCAUAAAGAAUUUAGGAUUUUGAAAGAAACUGGCUAAAAUAUAUAUUCUCAGGAGCUUGAAUCAGUUGCCAAGAAUGUGAGUCACACCCACCAUGAGAAGGAUUCUCAGUGAGGGGAAAAAUUUGCUCCUUCCACCAUGACUUCCUUUAACAGAGAACAUUACCAUUGCAAUAGG